rnacentral:rRNA from 1 species
AUGAUCUCCGCGGAGAGGAGCCAGUCGCAGAGCCCGCGGUCGCCCGGGGCGGCGGCCGGGGCGCCGUUCCUGUCGAUCUGCGUCACGGAUCCCGUCAAGAUGGGCACCGGCGUUCAGUCCUACAUCUCCUACCGCGUCAUCACCAAGACUAACCUACCUGAAUUCGAGGGAGCAGAGAAAAUUGUUAUCCGGCGCUAUAGUGAUUUUGAGUGGCUGCACGAUCGGCUAGCUGAGAAGUACAAAGGCAUUUUUAUACCUCCUCUUCCAGAGAAGAAUGCUGUUGAGAAAUUCCGGUUUAGCAAAGAAUUCAUUGAAUUGAGGCGCCAAGCUCUGGACCUAUUCAUCAACAGACUAGCUUCACACCCUGAACUUAAGCAAAGCGAAGAUUUGAGGACAUUUUUGCAGGCAGAUGAAGAGAAAAUGGAUAGAGCAAGGUCUUUUGAGACUGGUAUAUUUAAGAAGCCGGGAGAUUUCAUACAGAUGUUUAAGGAUGUACAGUCAAAAGUCAGCGAUGUUGUUUUGGGAAAAGAAAAGCCAGUGGAAGAGUCUACUCCUGAAUAUGAGAAGCUUAAACAUUACAUAUUUGAGCUAGAAAAUCAUCUAGCAGAGGCCCAGAAACAAGCAUUUCGCCUUGUAAAAAGGCACAGAGAACUUGGGCAAUCUUUGGCGGACUUUGGGAAAGCGAUUAAGCUUUUAGGCGCCUGCGAAGGGGAUUCGUUGGAGAAGGUGUUUUCUGAAGUUGGUUCGAAGUCAGAAAUGUUGUCAAUAAAGCUGCAAAGAGAGGCAGACAACCUUCUCUUUAAUUUUGAAGAACCUUUGAAAGAUUAUGUGCGUGCUGUGCAGUCAAUAAAGGCCACUAUGCUUGAUCGAGCCAAUGCUUUUAGGCAGCACUUUGACUUGGACCAGGAGAGGAAGUAUAAAGAGCUUAACCUUGAAAAAAUGAAGUUCAUGAAUCCUGAGAAGUUUUCCGAGUCGGAAACUGAGUUCAGUGAGUUGAAAGCAGCCAGUGAGGAGGCUACGGAGAGGUACGAGCACAUAGUUAGUGUGAUGAAUGACGAGCUUGCACGAUUCCAGGAGCAGAAAACAGCUGAUAUUGGACUUGCGUUCCAUGAGUUUGCCAAAGGGCAAGCAAAGUUAGCUAAAGAUAUUGCUGAUGCAUGGCGCAGCGUCCUCCCAAAGCUAGAGGCGUGUUCCAGUUCAUAA